GGGCUCGUAGCUUAGCUGGCAGAGCGCCCGGCUCAUAACCGGGUGGUCGUCGGUUCAAAUCCGACCGGGCCCA
rnacentral:tRNA from 1 species